rnacentral:rRNA from 1 species
GCGAGAAAACUUUGCAAUGUGCGAAAGCACGACAAGGUUAAUCCGAGUGGUUCACUAACGAAUAAGGGGUGGGCAAGUCUGGUGUCAGCCGCCGCGGUAAAACCAGCACCUCAAGUGGUCAGGAUGAUUAUUGGGCCUAAAGCAUCCGUAGCUUGCUUUGUAAGUUCUCGGUUAAAUCCAUGCGCUUAACGUAUGGGCUGCCGGCAAUACUGCAAAGCUAGGGAGUGGGAGAGGUAGACGGUACUCGGUAGGAAGGGGUAAAAUCCUUUGAUCUAUUGAUGACCACCUGUGGCGAAGGCGGUCUACCAGAACACGUCCGACGGUGAGGGAUGAAAGCUGGGGGAGCAAACCGGAUUAGAUACCCGGGUAGUCCCAGCUGUAAACUAUGCAAACUCAGUGAUGCAUUGGCUUGUGGCCAAUGCAGUGCUGCAGGGAAGCCGUUAAGUUUGCCGCCUGGGAAGUACGUACGCAAGUAUGAAACUUAAAGGAAUUGGCGGGGGAGCACACAGGGGGUGAAGCCUGCGGUUCAAUUGGAGUCAACGCCAGAAAUCUUACCCGGAGAGACAGAGAAUGAAGGUCAAGCUGAAGACUUUACCAGACAAGCUGAGAAGUAGUGCAUGGCC